rnacentral:rRNA from 1 species
GUGAGCUAAACGCACAUAUGGUCUAUUUGCAUGCGUCGCAUAGCACGUAAUAAAUGUACGUUUAGGGGUGAUAGGCUUUUCAAACGUUCCUAUAACUUGUUUCAUAUGAAAAGUAUUAARUACCUAAACAAAUUUAAAAAGUUAAGCUUUUAAAUAACUAUUAAAGAUAUUAUCCCCUUGUAGUGUAGUUUAAUAACUAUCUACAUAAUAACUUAAUAUAAAGUAUAAUAGUUUAUAUUUUAUAAUAUGACAUUAACAAUUUUGUUUAAUAUUUGAAAAUGUUAGUAUUAGUAAUAUUAGUAUAUGUGCUAAAGGAACUCGGCAAAAAACCACUCAACUGUUUAUCAAAAACAUAGCUAUAUGAAUUAAUAUAUAGUUAUUUCUGCUCAAUGACUUAAAUAGCCGCAGUACUCUGACUGUGCAAAGGUAGCAUAAUCAGUUGGCUUUUAAUUAGAGUCUGGUAUGAACGAAAAUAUGGGUAGUAACUGUCUUAGCACAUUUUUUCGAACUUAUUAAACACGUGCAAAUGCUUGUAAUUUAACAAUAGACGAGAAGACCCUAGAAACUUGGACAAGUUUUUGUUGGGGCGACAGAAUUACACUUAACUAAUCUUAUAAUACACGACGCGAUGUUGAAAGAAUAAGUUACUCUAGGGAUAACAGCAUAAUUUUAUUAGUUUGUGACCUCGAUGUUGGACUAGGUACUAUACCCUUAAGGCAAGGAUAUAUUAUGCUCUGUUCGAGCAAAAUUACCUACAUGAUCUGAGUUCAGACCG